rnacentral:rRNA from 1 species
GAUGAACGCUGGCGGCGUGCCUAAUACAUGCAAGUCGAGCGAACUGACAAGGAGCUUGCUCCUUUGACGUUAGCGGCGGACGGGUGAGUAACACGUGGGUAACCUACCUAUAAGACUGGGAUAACUUCGGGAAACCGGAGCUAAUACCGGAUAAUAUUUCGAACCGCAUGGUUCGAUAGUGAAAGAUGGUUUUGCUAUCACUUAUAGAUAGACCCGCGCCGUAUUAGCUAGUUGGUAAGGUAACGGCUUACCAAGGCGACGAUACGUAGCCGACCUGAGAGGGUGAUCGGCCACACUGGAACUGAGACACGGUCCAGACUCCUACGGGAGGCAGCAGUAGGGAAUCUUCCGCAAUGGGCGAAAGCCUGACGGAGCAACGCCGCGUGAGUGAUGAAGGUCUUCGGAUCGUAAAACUCUGUUAUUAGGGAAGAACAUACGUGUAAGUAACUAUGCACGUCUUGACGGUACCUAAUCAGAAAGCCACGGCUAACUACGUGCCAGCAGCCGCGGUAAUACGUAGGUGGCAAGCGUUAUCCGGAAUUAUUGGGCGUAAAGCGCGCGUAGGCGGUUUUUUAAGUCUGAUGUGAAAGCCCACGGCUCAACCGUGGAGGGUCAUUGGAAACUGUAAAACUUGAGUGCAGAAGAGGAAAGUGGAAUUCCAUGUGUAGCGGUGAAAUGCGCAGAGAUAUGGAGGAACACCAGUGGCGAAGGCGACUUUCUGGUCUGUAACUGACGCUGAUGUGCGAAAGCGUGGGGAUCAAACAGGAUUAGAUACCCUGGUAGUCCACGCCGUAAACGAUGAGUGCUAAGUGUUAGGGGGUUUCCGCCCCUUAGUGCUGCAGCUAACGCAUUAAGCACUCCGCCUGGGGAGUACGACCGCAAGGUUGAAACUCAAAGGAAUUGACGGGGACCCGCACAAGCGGUGGAGCAUGUGGUUUAAUUCGAAGCAACGCGAAGAACCUUACCAAAUCUUGACAUCCUUUGACAACUCUAGAGAUAGAGCCUUCCCCUUCGGGGGACAAAGUGACAGGUGGUGCAUGGUUGUCGUCAGCUCGUGUCGUGAGAUGUUGGGUUAAGUCCCGCAACGAGCGCAACCCUUAAGCUUAGUUGCCAUCAUUAAGUUGGGCACUCUAAGUUGACUGCCGGUGACAAACCGGAGGAAGGUGGGGAUGACGUCAAAUCAUCAUGCCCCUUAUGAUUUGGGCUACACACGUGCUACAAUGGACAAUACAAAGGGCAGCGAAACCGCGAGGUCAAGCAAAUCCCAUAAAGUUGUUCUCAGUUCGGAUUGUAGUCUGCAACUCGACUACAUGAAGCUGGAAUCGCUAGUAAUCGUAGAUCAGCAUGCUACGGUGAAUACGUUCCCGGGUCU